rnacentral:tRNA from 1 species
GCAGUGGUGGUUCGGUGAUAGAAUUCUCACCUUCCGUGUGGGAGACCCAGGUUCAAUUCCUAGCCAAUGCA